rnacentral:lncRNA from 1 species
AAGUGAGGGGGGCGGGACGGGUGUACCGGGUUGUGGCGGCGAUGGCUGUCGGAGUUGGGCCGCUUGGGGGUAGUUUGGGGUGCGAGUCCAGGGGCGAGGGAAGUCUCGAGAUGAGGAGAAAUGUAGGAGGCAGCCGAAGGGCCGGCAAACGCGGACAGAGAUGGCACCUGAGCGUCCCUGGGAGAACCUGGGCGACAGGCCAGAGACCGAAAGAAAUGGAGGCACGAAAAGAAGCUUCGAGAAACUGAGGGACUGAAAGACGAGGGUGUUGGGAGAGGAGGGAAGCUGAAAACUAGAGAGCGUGGGCGAGAGUGCCGAUGGGUUCCAGCGAGAGUCUUAGAGCCCACGAGGCCGAGAGGCGUGGUCGCCCAUGAACUUGGGGAGUGGAGGGAAAAGUCGGAAACUGAUCGUGGACACUAGAAACAGAAAAAAUGGAAUUUAGAUGGAGAAACGAGACACUGAAUCACGGGGGAGACCGAGAGAUACGGAAGGAUGGAGACAGUUGAAAUAGGAAGAACCCCACAAAAGCUGGAGAUAAUGGAGAACGAUGCUGAGAAAUGGAAAAGCGAGGGAGUGGAGCCCGAACCCCUGGAUUUGAGUGGCUCAUGUAACACUCGGCUACUCACUUAGCCUCUCUAUUGCUCAGUAAAAUAGGGGGUGAUCAUAGUGCCUGACAGUCGUGAGAAAAGUGUGUGUGUGUAUGUACAUAGGUGUGGGAUAGGAAUAGAUCAUGCAGAUAGGAUAGGUCUGUGUGUUAAUGUGAGUAAGUAAGCAUGAGCUAUUACUAAAGCUUCUGAUAUUGGGAGAUAAAGUAUUAGAUGGGGAAAUGGAGAGAGGUGGUGAUGGAGAGUGAAUACUGGAAGGACAAAA